rnacentral:rRNA from 1 species
AGAGUUUGAUCCUGGCUCAGGACGAACGCUGGCGGCACGCCUAACACAUGCAAGUCGAACGGACUUAAAAGAGCUUGCUUUUUUAAGUUAGCGGCGGACGGGUGAGUAACACGUGAGCAACCUGCCUCUGAGAGGGGGAUAGCUUCUGGAAACGGAUGGUAAUACCCCAUAAAAUAUAAAUAUCGCAUGAUAGAUAUAUCAAAGAAAUUCGCUCAGAGAUGGGCUCGCGUCUGAUUAGAUAGUUGGUGAGGUAACGGCUCACCAAGUCGACGAUCAGUAGCCGGACUGAGAGGUUGAACGGCCACAUUGGGACUGAGACACGGCCCAGACUCCUACGGGAGGCAGCAGUGAGGAAUAUUGGUCAAUGGACGAGAGUCUGAACCAGCCAAGUAGCGUGAAGGAUGACUGCCCUAUGGGUUGUAAACUUCUUUUAUACGGGAAUAAAGUUAGCCACGUGUGGCUUUUUGUAUGUACCGUAUGAAUAAGGAUCGGCUAACUCCGUGCCAGCAGCCGCGGUAAUACGGAGGAUCCGAGCGUUAUCCGGAUUUAUUGGGUUUAAAGGGAGCGUAGGCGGGUUGUUAAGUCAGUUGUGAAAGUUUGCGGCUCAACCGUAAAAUUGCAGUUGAUACUGGCGACCUUGAGUGCAACAGAGGUAGGCGGAAUUCGUGGUGUAGCGGUGAAAUGCUUAGAUAUCACGAAGAACUCCGAUUGUGAAGGCAGCUUACUGGAUUGUAACUGACGCUGAUGCUCGAAAGUGUGGGUAUCAAACAGGAUUAGAUACCCUGGUAGUCCACACAGUAAACGAUGAAUACUCGCUGUUGGCGAUAUACAGUCAGCGGCCAAGCGAAAGCAUUAAGUAUUCCACCUGGGGAGUACGCCGGCAACGGUGAAACUCAAAGGAAUUGACGGGGGCCCGCACAAGCGGAGGAACAUGUGGUUUAAUUCGAUGAUACGCGAGGAACCUUACCCGGGCUUAAAUUGCAACUGACUGAACCGGAAACGGUUCUUUCUUCGGACAGUUGUGAAGGUGCUGCAUGGUUGUCGUCAGCUCGUGCCGUGAGGUGUCGGCUUAAGUGCCAUAACGAGCGCAACCCUUAUCGAUAGUUACUAGCAGGUCAUGCUGAGGACUCUAUUGAGACUGCCGUCGUAAGAUGUGAGGAAGGUGGGGAUGACGUCAAAUCAGCACGGCCCCUACGUCCGGGGCUACACACGUGUUACAAUGGGGGGUACAGAAGGCAGCUACACGGCGACGUGGUGCUAAUCCCGAAAGCCUCUCUCAGUUCGGAUUGGAGUCUGCAACCCGACUCCAUGAAGCUGGAUUCGCUAGUAAUCGCGCAUCAGCCACGGCGCGGUGAAUACGUUCCCGGGCCUUGCACUCACCGCCCGUCAAG